rnacentral:rRNA from 1 species
GACGAACGCUGGCGGCGUGCCUAAUACAUGCAAGUAGGACGCAGUUGCGAACGGGUGAGUAACGCGUAGGUAACUGCCUAUUAGAGGGGGAUAACUAUUGUAAACGAUAGCUAAUACCGCCUACUAGUAGAUGGACCUGCGUGGUAUUAGCUCGUAGGUAGGGGAAUGGCCUCCCUAGGCGACGAUACAUAGCCGGGCUGGGAGGGUGGUCGGCCACACCGGGACUGGGGCACGGGCCCAGCUUCUAACGGGGGCAACAAGAGGGGAACUUUGGGAAUGGGGGGAAACCUUAACGAGCAAAGGCGGGUGGGUUGAGAAGGUUUUCGGAUCGUAAAACUCCGUUGUUAAGGGAGCGGUACUUAACCAGAAAGCGACGGCUAACUACGUGCCAGCAGCCGCGGUAAUUC